rnacentral:rRNA from 1 species
UACGUAGGUGGCAAGCGAUACUCGGAAUCACUAGGCGUAAAGCGCAGGUAGGCGGUUUGGUAAGUCUCUUAUGAAAGCUCCCGGCUUAACUGGGAGAGGUCAAGGGAAACUACCGGACUUGAGUGUGGUAGGGGAUACUGGAAUUCCUGGUGUAGCGGUGAAAUGCGUAGAUAUCAGGAGGAAUACCUAUGGCGAAAGCAGGUAUCUGGGCCAUCACUGACGCUGAGCUGCGAAAGCUAGGGGAGCAAACAGG